rnacentral:rRNA from 1 species
AUACGGAGGGUGCGAGCGUUAAUCGGAAUUACUGGGCGUAAAGCGCGCGUAGGCGGUUUGUUAAGUCGGAUGUGAAAUCCCCGGGCUCAACCUGGGACCUGCAUCCGAUACUGACAGGCUAGAGUCUGGUAGAGGGGGGUAGAAUUCCUGGUGUAGCGGUGAAAUGCGUAGAUAUCAGGAGGAAUACCAGUGGCGAAGGCGGCCCCCUGGACUGAGACUGACGCUGAGGUGCGAAAGCGUGGGGAGCAAACAGGAUUAGAAACCCUAGUAGUCC